UGUCUGGUAUCCAACUCACAA
rnacentral:misc_RNA from 1 species